GUUGUUUGAGCGAUUGUUUGUGCAUCAUGUCACACGCUCCAUGACAGCCAGACAUCCCUCUGAGCCUGAAACUGAUCCCAUGGUCACCUCAAAGUUUAGCCCUGUAAAGGACUCGGCGCGCUCGGGGGUACGCCUCUGAAAGGGAAAGCCAGCGAGGACGCUCUGAGGCCAGGGCCAGCGAACGCGCCAGCGGGAUGUCUCAUCACUCUCUCCACACUUUUGCUGUCAGAGCUUUUGUUUCAACAACAUUACUCACUCAAAAGGGCCUGCACCCAGAAUAACAAGGUGGAAUAAUGGUGUAGCAUUGCCUUGAACAGGCUGUGUAAAAGGGGCUAAUGACUGGAUGUGGCCCUGGAGCAGUCAGAGGUCAAGUGGAAGGAGGCCCAUGCAGUGAGUCUGUGCCAGGCAGCCAGGCUGGUUGUGUCGAGCGGUGGGAGGCAUAAGCGACAGGUAUUGAUAUGGAUUUGUCUCCAGUUGGCCCCACCACAGAGCCCGGGGACUGUUAAUGGGCCUCUAACGGGAUGACCAGCCCAUGGACGCCCCCCCAGAACUCCUGGAGAAGAGGACAUGAUAACAGAUGGAAGUGAAAAAGGUACUUUGGCUGUUUGACGGACACAUGGAGCAAAGUGAGGGUGAGCAGAGGGCGACAAUGACAGCUCCUGGUGGGCCAUAAGAAAGUGACAGUGGUGAUGUAGUGGAGCUUCUGCUCAGGAAGAGACAAACCCGUUGGCCCUGAAGGAACUCUUACAAAGCUAUUCCGAAACAGUUUAAGUGGCUGUUAAAGUUGAAGUGGCAAUGGAGAAUUUCCAGACGGUGCUUUUGAUUAAAGUUCAUUAAAACAUUGCUAGCAGCCAAACCUUUGAGUGCUGGACUCACCUUUGACCAUUGCUUGGUUAAAGAUACAUCCUUAU